CGCUAGAGACUGCGGUCUUUAGCCUCCUCGUUAGAGCGCCCGUCUCCCAUUCGGACCGUCGCCGGUUCGAGGCCCGCGCAGAGCGGUGCAAGUGGGACCGGUUACACUAAGAAUAAAUUAGCCAGUGUAGCAGCGCGCGAAAAUUUGUCAUGUGCAUGAUUAGACAGAGUCUUUGUAUGAAGUGGGUUUGUCGUUGUGCUUUAAUCAAUGGCGCACCGCUAUUUUACUUCUAUUAUGCGAGUUUUCCGGCUGCAUUGAGUCCAUAUAAGUAGAUGCGGACUCGCGGACGCGUACUCCUGUUAUUUAAAUAUGUCAUCUGGCUGUUCUAUGCGUCUGGGUGAAUGAAUGAACUAACGUUACACAGUUUAACAUUGCUAUUCGCGUGAUGCUGGUGGAUUUGUCUGCGUCUGCACUGUAGGAUAUGAACACAUGAACUUCAUCUCCAGAGUUGCUCUGAGAGUUUAUUUUACAAGCAUUUUUACUGUUUGAGUGAAGCUAUCGUCAAAGUCACACACACUAAAACUGAAGCGUCUUCCCAAAAUAAAAGUCCGGUUAACUUGAACACUCUAAAAUACUGUAUGUACUGUAGUAUUUGCUAUUGAAAAUUGUAGUGCCCUUGUAGUGAAUUGAUAAGCUGUAGUAAACACUGUAGUAUACUAUAGUAAGGUUCAAAAACAUUAUAGUAUCUAGGAAUUUUACUAUAGUAAAUUCUAUAGUAUACUGCAGUAUGUAUGUGGACAAAUAUAACACACAAAAAAAAUGAAAAACAGAACUUAGAAAAAUGAAAAUUAAGUAAACUAAAAAUUAUAUGGCCUUAAUUUAUCUAUCUAUAAUGUAAUUUGUCAGUUACCUGUCUAUUCAUGUGAUGAACUGCACUUGCAUAAUUUUUGAGAUUUCUUUUUCAGACUUUCGAAAGAUUAAAAUAAGUAAAUGGACCGCUGCAAUUUUUAGAAACAAAUGGAAUACUGUAUUUUGAAGUGCAUCUUUUGUUUUUAUUUAAAGUUAGCUGUUAGAUCUGUGCCAUUUGGGACGUCGGAUGAGCCUUUUUGUGGUCGUUACCGUCAAAACUGGUAAGCUAAAGUGAGGCAACACUAAAACAGAGGUUGUAUUUCCUGUUUUGCAUUUAUAAGUCAAGCAUUUUAGGUGUAAUUUAAUUUUCGUAAUCAUUUAUAAUCAAACUUUUACAGGUACCUAAGACUGUAAAGAAGAUAUUUUGAAGAAAGUUGGUAACCAAACAGCAUUGGACCCCACUCACUUCUAUUGUAUAGAUACAAAACUAUUUGCAAGUGAAAGGCGUCCAGUUAACAGCAUUUUUCAAAAUAUCUUCUUUUGUGUUCUGUGCAAGGCAGAAAGUCAUUCAGGUGUGAAAUGACAAGAGGGUGAGUAAAUGAUAACAGAUUUAAGUAUAUCACUUUAAGUAUAUUCUUUAUACAUGUAAUGAAUCUCUCUCAGCCUGUUAAUUGCUGUACUUUUAGAUGAAUGCAAUUCCAGCAGAUGUAGAGGGAUCCCUCUCUGUGCCCAGCACCCCAAGACUGAUCGCACUUGAAGAUUCUGUUUUCCGUGCCAAAAAAUCGAUGCUGACAAUGGAGAGCAGAGUCAUCAUAGAGCCACAAGAGUAACAGAUUUUCAAUGUGCAAUACCAGGAAGCGGCCACCAAUACACUGGACUUCAUUCAGAGGUUCAUUCUGAGAACACACCCUGAUAGCACCAAAUGCCAAUCAAAAUCACAUAUCAGCCAGACACAGAAGAAAAAUCACCAGCCUGAAUCCUUGUGGCAUCUUUUAUCAACGAGCUUGUUGAGUAAUGAAAUUAAGCACUACUGACGAUAACACUACAAACAAAACAAACAUGUUUUUUUUUGCUGUUUGAUUUGAGUUCUGUGACCUAUGCUGUCCAAACUGCAUACUGCGACAGUAUGUACUGAUUUAAAUUAAGUACCUACCUGUCUACCAUUAAAACAGUAUGUUCUAUAUAGUUUUUGUGGGAGUAGUAUUAUUACAUUUCGGACAUACUGCAUCAGGCAUGUUUAUUGUCAUGUGACCCGUAUGCUCUUUGACCUAUGACAUUUUAACAACAACCUGUAGAUAGGCAUUGGUAAAAACAUUAAGUGGUUUGUAUGUUUUUAACUCUGUUUCCUUCAUUUUUUUGUCAGUUGUCAAUGCUUGUUUUGUUGUUUUGUUCCCUGGUUUUCUGAGUAUUUUUAGAUGAAAUUCUGUUUAAAAUAAAACUUUAACUGCUGUGAGUA